UACAGCAUCGAGACAUUUCUAUGUUGAAGAGGAGACAACUACGAAAACGGAAUUUGUGCCGGAAGUUGUAACAGAAACAAGUGUUACAUUUGAAACAUCCACUGUGUCAUCAACAACAGCAGAGUUAGUGACAUCAGUGCCCGAAACAACAUCUGAGACAUCCACUCUAUCAUCGACAACAGCAGAAUCAGUGACAUCAGUGCCUGAUACAACUACUAUAACUGAAGGACCAGCUGUUUUAGAAAAAACCACGGUAUCAGUUGCUGAAGCAAAUACAGAUGAUGAUGGUGACUUGAAUGAGGACACCAUUAAGAAGACCUUGGUUCCAUCUGAUCAAUUUGCAGAAAUGGAAG